rnacentral:rRNA from 1 species
GUAGUCCACACCCUAAACGAUGAGAACUAGUUGUUGGCCCUUUUAAGGGUCAGUGACUUAGCUAACGCAUUAAGUUCUCCACCUGGGAAGUACGAUCGCAAGGUUGAAACUCAAAGGAAUUGACGGGGGCCCGCACAAGCAGUGGAGCAUGUGGUUUAAUUCGAUGCAACGCGAAGAACCUUACCUAGGCUUGAAACGCAAGUUAAAUUUGGUGAAAGCCAUUGUCCCGCAAGGGGAACUUGUACAGGUGCUGCAUGGCUGUCGUCAGCUCGUGCCGUGAGGUGUUGGGUUAAGUCCCGCAACGAGCGCAACCCUCGUCCUUAGUUGCCAGCAAGUAAUGUUGGGCACUCUAAGGAGACUGCCUACGCAAGUAGUGA